rnacentral:rRNA from 1 species
GACGAACGCUGGCGGCGUGCUUAACACAUGCAAGUCGAACGGUGAAGGGACCGGUUUUUGCUGGUUCUGGAUGAGUGGCGAACGGGUGAGUAACACGUGAGUAACCUGCCCCCUUCUUCUGGAUAACCGCAUGAAAGUGUGGCUAAUACGGGAUAUUCUGCGCCUGCUGCAUGGUGGGUGUGGGAAAGAUAUUGUUUCGGUGGGGGAUGGGCUCGCGGCCUAUCAGCUUGUUGGUGGGGUGAUGGCCUACCAAGGCGGUGACGGGUAGCCGGCCUGAGAGGGUGGACGGUCACACUGGGACGGCGACACGGCCCAGACUCCUACGGGAGGCAGCAGUGGGGAAUAUUGCACAAUGGGCGCAAGCCUGAUGCAGCGACGCCGCGUGAGGGAUGGAGGCCUGCGGGUUGUAAACCUCUUUCGCCAGUGAAGCAGGCCUGUCCCUUGUGUGGGUGGGUUGACGGUAGCUGGAGAAGAAGCGCCGGCUAACUACGUG